rnacentral:rRNA from 1 species
GUGGGGAAUUUUGGACAAUGGGCGCAAGCCUGAUCCAGCAAUGCCGCGUGCAGGAAGAAGGCCUUCGGGUUGUAAACUGCUUUUGUACGGAACGAAACGGUCCGGGUUAAUACCCUGGGCUAAUGACGGUACCGUAAGAAUAAGCACCGGCUAACUACGUGCCAGCAGCCGCGGUAAUACGUAGGGUGCAAGCGUUAAUCGGAAUUACUGGGCGUAAAGCGUGCGCAGGCGGUUUUGUAAGACAGGCGUGAAAGCCCCGGGCUCAUCCUGGGAAUUGCGCUUGGGACUGCAAGGCUGGAGUGCGGCAGAGGGGGAUGGAAUUCCGCGUGUAGCAGUGAAAUGCGUAGAUAUGCGGAGGAACACCGAUGGCGAAGGCAAUCCCCUGGGCCUGCACUGACGCUCAUGCACGAAAGCGUGGGGAGCAAACAGGAUUAGAUACCCCUGUAGUCC